rnacentral:rRNA from 1 species
AGCAGCCGCGGUAAUUCCAGCUCCAAUAGCGUAUAUUAAAGUUGUUGCAGUUAAAAAGCUCGUAGUUGAAUUUCGGGAUCAAUAUAUCGGUCGUGCCUUGGUACGUACUGGUAUCAUUGGUUUCUCCUUUCUGACGAACCAUGAUGUCAUUAAUUUGGUGUUAUGGGAAGUUAGGACUGUUACUUUGAAAAAAUUAGAGUGUUUAAAGCAGGCUUUAGCUUGAAUACAUUAGCAUGGAAUAAUGAAAUAGGACGUUCGAACCUAUUUUGUUGGUUUCUAGGAUCAACGUAAUGAUUAAUAGGGAUAGUUGGGGGCAUUAGUAUUCAAUUGUCAGAGGUGAAAUUCUUGGAUUUAUUGAAAGACUAACUACUGCGAAAGCAUUUGCCAAGGAUGUUUUCAUUAAUCAAGAACGAAAGUUAGGGAAUCGAAGACGAUCAGAUACCGUCGUAGUCUUAACCAUAAACUAUGCGACUAGGGAUCGGAUGAUGUUAAUUUUUAAUGACUCAUUCGGCGCCUUACG